rnacentral:rRNA from 1 species
GUCGAGCGAACGGACGAGAAGCUUGCUUCUCUGAUGUUAGCGGCGGACGGGUGAGUAACACGUGGAUAACCUACCUAUAAGACUGGGAUAACUUCGGGAAACCGUAGCUAAUACCGGAUAAUAUUUUGAACCGCAUGGUUCAAAAGUGAAAGACGGUCUUGCUGUCACUUAUAGAUGGAUCCGCGCUGCAUUAGCUAGUUGGUAAGGUAACGGCUUACCAAGGGCAACGAUGCAUAGCCGACCUGAGAGGGUGAUCGGCCACACUGGAACUGAGACACGGUCCAGACUCCUACGGGAGGCAGCAGUAGGGAAUCUUCCGCAAUGGGCGAAAGCCUGACGGAGCAACGCCGCGUGAGUGAUGAAGGUCUUCGGAUCGUAAAACUCUGUUAUUAGGGAAGAACAUAUGUGUAAGUAACUGUGCACAUCUUGACGGUACCUAAUCAGAAAGCCACGGCUAACUACGUGCCAGCAGCCGCGGUAAUACGUAGGUGGCAAGCGUUAUCCGGAAUUAUUGGGCGUAAAGCGCGCGUAGGCGGUUCUUUAAGUCUGAUGUGGAAGCCCACGGCUCAACCGUGGAGGGUCAUUGGAAACUGGAAAACUUGAGUGCAGAAGAGGAAAGUGGAAUUCCAUGUGUAGCGGUGAAAUGCGCAGAGAUAUGGAGGAACACCAGUGGCGAAGGCGACUUUCUGGUCUGUAACUGACGCUGAUGUGCGAAAGCGUGGGGAUCAAACAGGAUUA